GACGAACGCUGGCGGUGUGCUUAACACAUGCAAGUGGUGCGACGAACCAGGCUUCGGCCUGGGGCAAAGCCGCGAACGGGUGAGUAACACGUGGGUAAUCUGCCCCGAUGACCGGGACAACCCGAGGAAACUCGGGCUAAUACCGGAUGUGGUGCCUGGACAUAAGUCCGGUCACUAAAGGUAGCUUAGGCUUCCGCAUUGGGAGGGGCCCGCGGCCCAUUAGCUUGUUGGUGGGGUCAAGGCCUACCAAGGCAACGAUGGGUAGCUGGUCUGAGAGGACGAUCAGCCACACUGGGACUGAGACACGGCCCAGACUCCUACGGGAGGCAGCAGUGGGGAAUCUUGCGCAAUGCGCGAAAGCGUGACGCAGCAACACCGCGUGAGGGAAGACGGCCUUAGGGUUGUAAACCUCUUUCAGAUGGGACGAAGGUUGUCCGGUGAAUAGCCGAGAUGAUUGACGGUACCGUCAGAAGAAGCUCCGGCUAACUACGUGCCAGCCGCCGCUGUAAUAC
rnacentral:rRNA from 1 species